UAGGGAAUCUUCGGCAAUGGACGAAAGUCUGACCGAGCAACGCCGCGUGAGUGAAGAAGGUUUUCGGAUCGUAAAACUCUGUUGUUAGAGAAGAACAAGGACGUUAGUAACUGAACGUCCCCUGACGGUAUCUAACCAGAAAGCCACGGCUAACUACGUGCCAGCAGCCGCGGUAAUACGUAGGUGGCAAGCGUUGUCCGGAUUUAUUGGGCGUAAAGCGAGCGCAGGCGGUUUCUUAAGUCUGAUGUGAAAGCCCGCGGCUCAAACGGGAAAGGUCAUUGGAAACUGGGAGACUUGAGUGCAGAAGAGGGGAGUGGAAAUCCAUGUGUAGCGGUGAAAUUCGUAGAUAUAUGGAGGAACACCAGUGGCGAAGGCGGCUCUCUGGUCUGUAACUGACGCUGAGGGUCGAAAGCGUGGGGAGCAAACAGG
rnacentral:rRNA from 1 species